AGAUAGAUUGAGAGGAGAGAAAGUUAGCACUGUCCUUGAUAAGGAUGGAAAGGGCCUUAGAGGCUUUACAGUACACAAAUGGUUAAGGCAUUGCCAUGUACUUAUUAGCAUAUAGGCGCUCUUAUGG